rnacentral:rRNA from 1 species
AUUGAACGCUGGCGGCAGGCUUAACACAUGCAAGUCGAGCGGGGGAAGGUAGCUUGCUACUGGACCUAGCGGCGGACGGGUGAGUAAUGCUUAGGAAUCUGCCUAUUAGUGGGGGACAACAUCUCGAAAGGGAUGCUAAUACCGCAUACGUCCUACGGGAGAAAGCAGGGGAUCUUCGGACCUUGCGCUAAUAGAUGAGCCUAAGUCGGAUUAGCUAGUUGGUGGGGUAAAGGCCUACCAAGGCGACGAUCUGUAGCGGGUCUGAGAGGAUGAUCCGCCACACUGGGACUGCGACCCGGCCCAGACUCCUACGGGAGGCAGCAGUGGGGAAUAUUGGACAAUGGGGGGAACCCUGAUCCAGCCAUGCCGCGUGUGUGAAGAAGGCCUUAUGGUUGUAAAGCACUUUAAGCGAGGAGGAGGCUACUCUAGUUAAUACCUAGGGAUAGUGGACGUUACUCGCAGAAUAAGCACCGGCUAACUCUGUGCCAGCAGCCGCCGUAA